CUCCACCACCCAACCUAUACGCCCGGAGGCUCGCGUUUUUAAGUCGUCCCCGGUCGAGACGAUACCCGAAUGACAAAGGAAAGUUAACCCCGCACCCAACGGCACCGCAUCUGCGGCGUGAUGACAGUUCCGCUCGGCCGAUAUUCCGUCGCGUACCAGUCAACGCAGUGACGCACGGCGCCGGGACCGGGCCACGAAUAAUCGCCAGGCCGCGGAUAAUCGUAGGCCGCUGGCCGAUCCGGAGUGACCCGAAUCCGCGGCCGCUGACGGGUUUGUGACGAAAACUCGGUGCUCUUGGCGCCUGUUUCGCCGGAUGAAAGCGGGGCGACGGGAGUCACACCCAGCACGAGCAAACCGGCGGCAAGGAUAACGAAUUGAUACGCGGUCAUGCUCGAACGCUCUCUCAUCCGGCGUGGAAGGUCAACCAUUUGUGUCCCGGCGCCGGGCGGGCCUAUGGUGGCGCGGUGGAACCCGGAUCGCGACAGGACACGCGACAACACGCCGCGCUCGCCGAUCUCGCGCGUCUGGCGCGCGAGGGCGACGCGCUAGGCGGCCUGACCGGACGCGCCGGCGCUCAUUUCGGCGCGGCCGACGCUCCGGUAGACGACAGGAUCGAGUUGUGGGGCCGCCGCAUCGGCCGCACGCUCAGCGCCAUCGCGUUUGUGGCGUUGUGUGUCUAUCUCUAUGUCGCCUAUGUCCGCUGAUAUCCCAGCAAGCCCCCUCGCCGAUCCGCUGGCCUGGCGUCAGGUCACGGCGCUCUCGCUCGACGAGAUGGAAACCAUCGCGGCCGACGCGUUCCAGCGCUUGCCCGAGACCUUCCGUUCGCUGUGCGAGGGCGUGAUCAUCCGCGUCGA
rnacentral:misc_RNA from 1 species